rnacentral:rRNA from 1 species
AUUGAACGCUGGCGGCAUGCUUUACACAUGCAAGUCGAACGGUAACAGGCCUUCGGGCGCUGACGAGUGGCGAACGGGUGAGUAAUGCAUCGGAACGUGCCCAGUCGUGGGGGAUAACUAUCCGAAAGGAUAGCUAAUACCGCAUACGAUCUGCGGAUGAAAGCGGGGGACCUUCGGGCCUCGCGCGAUUGGAGCGGCCGAUGUCAGAUUAGGUAGUUGGUGGGGUAAAGGCUCACCAAGCCAACGAUCUGUAGCUGGUCUGAGAGGACGACCAGCCGCACUGGGACUGAGACACGGCCCAGACUCCUACGGGAGGCAGCAGUGGGGAAUUUUGGACAAUGGGCGCAAGCCUGAUCCAGCAAUGCCGCGUGCAGGAAGAAGGCCUUCGGGUUGUAAACUGCUUUUGUACGGAACGAAACGGCUCUGGUUAAUACCCGGGGCUAAUGACGGUACCGUAAGAAUAAGCACCGGCUAACUACGUGCCAGCCGCCGCAGUAAUAC